rnacentral:rRNA from 1 species
GAUGAACGCUGGCGGCGUGCCUAAUACAUGCAAGUCGAGCGAACAGACGAGGAGCUUGCUCCUCUGACGUUAGCGGCGGACGGGUGAGUAACACGUGGAUAACCUACCUAUAAGACUGGUAUAACUUCGGGAAACCGGAGCUAAUACCGGAUAAUAUAUUGAACCGCAUGGUUCAAUAGUGAAAGACGGCUGUGCUGUCACUUAUAGAUGGAUCCGCGCCGCAUUAGCUAGUUGGUAAGGUAACGGCUUACCAAGGCAACGAUGCGUAGCCGACCGGAGAGGGUGAUCGGCCACACGGGAACUGAAACACGGUCCAGACUCCUACGGGAGGCAGCAGUCGGGAACCUUCCGCAGUGGUCGAAAGCCUGACGGAGCAACGCGGCGUGAGUGAUGAAGGUCUUCGGAUCGUGAAACUCUGUUAUUAGGGGAGAACAAAUGUGUAAGUAACUAUGCACGUCUUGACGGUACCUAAUCAGAAAGCCACGGCUAACUACGUG